rnacentral:rRNA from 1 species
CGCAUCUGUGCAUGCAGCAUAUCAAUAAGCGGAGGAAAAGAAACUAACAAGGAUUCCCCUAGUAACGGCGAGUGAAGCGGGAAGAGCUCAAAUUUGAAAUCUUAAAGGGUUUCCCUUUACGAAUUGUAGUUUAAAGAAGUGUUUUCUGUUGAGGUUUUGGUAAAAGUUCUUUGGAAUAGGACAUCAUAGAGGGUGAGAAUCCCGUAUUUGACCUUUACUUUCAACUUUGUGAUACACUUUCAAAGAGUCGGAUUGUUUGGGAACGCAGUCCAAAAUGGGUGGUAAAUUUCAUCUAAAGCUAAAUAUUGGCGAGAGACCGAUAGCGAACAAGUACCGUGAGGGAAAGAUGAAAAGAACUUUGAAAAGAGAGUUAAACAGUACGUGAAAUUGUCAAAAGGGAAGCGUUUGACACCAGUGUUGUUUUUCUGAAAAUCAAUUAAAGAACUGUUUAUGCUAAGUUGUUUAGACUUUAUCAGCUAACUGUUUAGUUUUGAGCUUUUCUUUAAUGCACUUUUCAGUUAACAAGUCAACAUCAAUUUCUUUUGCUGUAAAAAAGCUUGAGGAAGGUGGCUUGAGAUUCGUCUUAAGUGCUUAUAGCCUCUUGCCUAUGCAGUCGGAGAGAUUGAGGUCUGCAGCGUAGAUCCUUCGGGGCUAAAUGCAUUUGUGCUAAGUUAUAGCAUUUUAUAGACAACUUGUUGACUAUGAUUUGUCUUGUAGCUUACUCGCUAUGUUAUUUUACCUACGCUUAGGAUGUUGAGCGCAUGUCUCUCUCU